CGGAGGGUGCAAGCGUUAUCCGGAUUCACUGGGUUUAAAGGGUGCGUAGGUGGGCAAGUAAGUCAGUGGUGAAAUCUCCGGGCUUAACCCGGAAACUGCCAUUGAUACUAUUUGUCUUGAAUACUGUGGAGGUCAGCGGAAUAUGUCAUGUAGCGGUGAAAUGCUUAGAUAUGACAUAGAACACCAAUUGCGAAGGCAGCUGGCUACACAAAUAUUGACACUGAGGCACGAAAGCGUGGGGAUCAAACAGGAUUAGAUACCCUGGUAGUCCACGCCCUAAACUAUGGAUACUCGAUAUUUGCGAUAAACUGCAAGUGUCUGAGCGAAAGCAUUAAGUAUCCACCUGGGAAGUACGAUCGCAAGAUUG
rnacentral:rRNA from 1 species